GACNAACGCUGUGCGGCGUGCUUAACACAUGCAAGUCGAACGAUGAAGCCCUUCGGGGUGGAUUAGUGGCGAACGGGUGAGUAACACGUGGGCAAUCUGCCCUUCACUCUGGGACAAGCCCUGGAAACGGGGUCUAAUACCGGAUAACACCUGCCCGGGCAUCUGGGUGGGUUAAAAGCUCCGGCGGUGAAGGAUGAGCCCGCGGCCUAUCAGCUUGUUGGUGAGGUAGUGGCUCACCAAGGCGACGACGGGUAGCCGGCCUGAGAGGGCGACCGGCCACACUGGGACUGAGACACGGCCCAGACUCCUACGGGAGGCAGCAGUGGGGAAUAUUGCACAAUGGGCGAAAGCCUGAUGCAGCGACGCCGCGUGAGGGAUGACGGCCUUCGGGUUGUAAACCUCUUUCAGCAGGGAAGAAGCGAAAGUGACGGUACCUGCAGAAGAAGCGCCGGCUAACUACGUGCCAGCAGCCGCGGUAAUACGUAGGGCGCAAGCGUUGUCCGGAAUUAUUGGGCGUAAAGAGCUCGUAGGCGGCUUGUCACGUCGGGUGUGAAAGCCCGGGGCUUAACCCCGGGUCUGCAUUCGAUACGGGCUAGCUAGAGUGUGGUAGGGGAGAUCGGAAUUCCUGGUGUAGCGGUGAAAUGCGCAGAUAUCAGGAGGAACACCGGUGGCGAAGGCGGAUCUCUGGGCCAUUACUGACGCUGAGGAGCGAAAGCGUGGGGAGCGAACAGGAUUAGAUACCCUGGUAGUCCACGCCGUAAACGGUGGGAACUAGGUGUUGGCGACAUUCCACGUCGUCGGUGCCGNANCUAACGCAUNAAUUNCCCNCCUGGGGAAUNCGGCCCNAGGCUAAANUCAANGNAUUGACGGGGGCCCNCCAAACANCGGANNUGUGGCUNANUNNACCCACNCNAAAAC
rnacentral:rRNA from 1 species